CCUACGGGUGGCAGCAGUGGGGAAUAUUGGGCAAUGGUCGCAAGCCUGAACCAGCAACGCCGCGUGCAGGAAGACGGCUUUCGGGUUGUAAAAUUGUUUUUUCGGGGGAGUGUAGAAGACGAUACCUGACGAUUAAGCCACGGCUAACUACGUGCCAGCAGCCACGGUCAUACGUAGGUUGCAAGCGUUGUCCGGAUUUACUGGGUGUAACGGGCGUGUAGCCGGGUUGACAAGUCAGUUGUGAAAUCCCGCGGCUUAACCGCAGAACUGCAUUGGAAACUGUUGAUCUUGAGUACUGGAGAGGGAGACGGAAUUCCUGGUGUAGCGGUGAAAUGCGGAGAUAUUAGGAGGAACACCAGUGGCGAAGGCGGUCUGCUGGACAGCAACUGACGGUGAGGCGCGAAAGCGUGGGGAGCAAACAGGAUUAGAUACCCGUGUAGUC
rnacentral:rRNA from 1 species